CACGAACCUGAAGAUAAAGGAGAAGUAUCUCUCUCCAGAUGCGUUCGAGGCGUCGGGCCGCAGAGGCAGCGCUAAAGGCCUGACCGUCAGCAGAUCUAACUCCAGCCUGAGUUUAUACAGCAGCGCUUCGGCUCCCAGCAGCCCGCUGACACGCAAGGCAUUGCUACGCAGAAGUUUCUCUGGUGAGAGGUGCAUUCGACCCAGGAGCUCUAUUGCAGCAUUGGGGAUCGACCAUUUCUCUGCCGACAUCGACUCACCUUCACCUACAGAAGAGGCAGAAAGACCGCCAACAUGACCACAUCUUGUCCCAUACCACGAGCUCAACCAGGCAGGCGUUCCUGAUCCGCAGGAUGGACAGAAAACCAGCCCAGCAGGCCUCAGAUCAGUGGGCACGCUCAGACAGUUCACUCAGCACAGCUCUCACGGCUGGUCACUAGUGCUCUGAGGUGUGUUACACCAUCUGUUUCAUAGCAUAACAUUGACUUUUUACCUUCACAGACUUUGUUUUUACAAAACGGACUCCCUGCUUUGUGUGUAACGAGAGACCGCUGGAAUGUUUCGCAUGGGUUCGAGCAGCACGACGCCUGUAGUAUCAAAGAGCAAUAGCUUAUG
rnacentral:lncRNA from 1 species